GGAAGUGUGCCCGAAAGAUAAGGACCUCCUUGAU
rnacentral:tRNA from 1 species